rnacentral:rRNA from 1 species
UACAGAGGUCUCAAGCGUUGUUCGGAAUCACUGGGCUUAAAGGGCGCGUAGGCGGGUGCUCAAGUCCGUGGUGAAAUCCUCCGGCUCAACCGGAGAACUGCCUCGGAUACUGGGCGUCUCGAGUGUGGUAGGGGUAUGCGGAACUAUCGGUGGAGCGGUGAAAUGCGUUGAUAUCGAUAGGAACUCCGGUGGCGAAGGCGGCAUACUGGACCACCACUGACGCUGAUGCGCGAAAGCCAGGGGAGCGAACGGG